GUAACAGGAGGCGACUGCCAAGAGAUGCUAAAGCUACUGCCAUUGGGAGUGAAUUUUGCUGAUCCUGGAAUGUUCACCGGAGGAGUGGCCUGUGUGAAAAGAAAGUAUUAUUCCAGCAAGAAGAACCAUUCCUCUUCCGAAGCAUUUCAAAGGAUCUUUCAUUCCUUGAAAUGAACUGCAAGCUGACACUUCACACUGCACAAAAAGAGGAAAUGAAUUGUUCCUGGCAUCCUUUGGGUACUUGUUGACACUUCAAGCAGAGCUUGUACUUGUUCAAUAAAAACAGAGCUGAAAUGAAGACCCUGGGAGGGAUUCGCUUGGCUGACUGGAUGGGAAUUUUUACAAUGCAGGAAACCCCAUAUGAGCAUGUCACCUUGGGUUCUCCUUACAGUCAGUGAAUAUUGAACUGAUGUAGGCAGUGGGAUACACAGAUUAACUCUUCUCAACCUGAAAUAUACACCUGUGUGUGGCUGGAUAAACAGCACCCCAAAAUUGACCAGCUGUGGCAGGCACAUAAGCAAACAAACAAACCAAUAGUGAGCUCAGAAGAAUACAUCUCAGUUUAAAUUAAAAAAAAAAAUGCCUUUGACUGCUCUGAAAACCUUUCAGCCCAUUAAAACCCAAACCUUGUGCAGUGACAUUUCUUCACACAUUAGUGACAUUAGUGUAAUCACUGGAGCUCAUACCACUGGUGUUACCUGGUAAGCAUGGUCCGUGUGUACGAGGUAGAGGUUGGUAGGAGCUGAGCGGCUCAGAGGUGUCAUCACUUUAGUCUCAGUUUUGGCACAGGAAGUUUCAGGACGGAUUGUGUCUUGGGUGGGAAAGGAAGGAGGAGAUGCUAAAGAUGGAGAGACUGGGGAAAGACUGCUUAGGCCAUCAGCUACUGAGUCCGUGUUGAGCCUGAUUUCUGUAUAGUAAAAAUCCUCCUCUCCAUCACUGUAGUCAGACUCUCCUACACGCCUGGAUCAAGAGAAAGAAGUAGGAAUUGAUUGAAAGCAAGAAUCCUGAGGUAAUGGGAAGAGGAAAAUCAUCUAAUCUGAAAGGAAGAGAAGUACAAAUUUCUUUUUUCACCUCUCUGUGUUAUUCUUGACAAAUUCUUUCACCUUGGAGUAGAUGUUUAACUUCUUCAGAUCAAGUAUCAGCUUCUCAUUUGUAAGUAUGUAAAGUUAAAAAGAAUCUCAACGCACUCCAUCUUUGUAAGUCACAGUGAAGAUAACAGGCAAGAUACCUUUCACUCGUUACAGCAAACAAUAUGCAAUCUUAUCAGAAGUUACUUAAUUAUACAAAUAUACUUGUGGCUGUCAUUCACUGUAACUUUCUGUAACAUAACAGGAAUUUGCAAGACAACAGUCUCACCAUGCAACUCACUCAGAUACAGAGAAAGCACUCAUACAGGCUGGCUUGCCGUGGCCAGGACUUUCUGGUCCUGCUCUCCAGAAGCUGACUAAUUGAAGGAGGGCAUGUAGGAGGUUUAAUUGCUUUAAAGUUUCAUCUGAUGUGCAUUUGAGCACAAGUGCUAGCAGUGAAGCUAGCAGUCAAAGCAGUAGCUCCAGCAGACUACAUGUUACUUGAAGUUCAAGCCAGAACUUGUUGAGAGAACAUAGGUCAGCAGGUUUGAAAGGCUCUACCAGAAGUACCAUCCAUUAGGAUGCAACCAGUCACUCACCAAAACUACUCAUUCCAGAAAAGUUUCUAACUCCAGCAAAUUACAGAAAUGUUUUGCUAUUUACUUCUCCCUCUCCCACACCACAAAGAGGAUGUCCCCAUUAUAUAGCGCACAAAUGAACAUUCCUAACUGCAUUUUGAGAGAGAUUUUCUCUGUUUCCCACAGCCUUAUUCUUAAGCCCAACAGUAAUUGCUGACCUCUUCAAGACCAUCCUGAGCUCCAGAUGAUUCUUGUGGUGGCUUUAAUUUUUAAGCUGUGGAUAACAGACCUACAGAACAGAGAUGUAGUUUCACCUAACAGAUGAAGACCGUGAGUCCCCACUGUAAUUAUAAAUGAGACAGGUACAUCACUCAGUGAAUUGCACAGGAGAUAUCAGUUGCAAACUGAAGCUCUGAAACAAACUUGUCCCCUAAAAGAUUAAUUUGCUUUUGCUUGUAGUCCAAGUAACAUACAUGUUUGUCCUGGUUUUGCCUGGGCUGGAGUUAAUUUUCUUCCAAGUAGCUAGCACAGAGAUGUCUUUUGGAUUUAGGAUGAGAAGAGCAUUGACAAUACACUGAUGUUUUAGUUGAUGCUGAGCACUGCUUACUCUAAAUCAAGAACUUAUCAGUGCCAGUGAGCAGGGGCACCAGAAGCUGGAAGGAAGCAUGGCCAGGACAAAGGGAUAUUCUGUUCCAUAGGAUGUCAUGUUCAGUAAAUACAUGGGAAGGAGUUAGCUGGGAGGUGCUGAUCUCUGCUUGGGGACAGGCUGGGCAUUGGUCAGCAGGUGGUGAGAAACUGUAAUGUGCAUCAUUUUUUUCUCUUCAAUUUUGUUUCUCUCUCUCUCCCCUUUCCUUACAAGUAUUAGAGUCAUUACUAUUACUGUUAUUAUUGUCAUCAGUGUUUUAUUUUGUUCAAGCCAUUAAACUGUUCUUGUCUCAACCCAUGACGUUUUUUCUUUAUUCCUUUGAUUCUUCCAGGGAAGGAAGAGGAUAGUAAGUGAACAGCUCUAUGGUACUUAGCUGCUUGACUGGGUUAAACCAUGACAACAUGGUCAGUUUCCUUUCAUUUUUAGGUUUCUUAUGUGAUUUGUUGUUUUGGUGGGUUUUUUGGCAUUUUUUUUUUUUUUUUUUGGCAUUAAUUCAACUCAGAACUGGCACAAGCACCUGACCUGAUGUGCAACAAAGCUGAAAAGUAUUCAUGCAAGACCCUGAACCUGUCCACCCACAGUGUCAUCCUGGAUGUGAUGUGCAGACAGCACAUAUGAUGUAAUGGCACCGAGCUGUGCAGCUGACAGGGAAGUGCAGUGUGACCUCCAGCUCUAUUUGACCUUCUAGCAAAGUUGACAGAAUUUCAGGAAAAAAGUGCCUCGCUGCUGGAAUAAGUGCUCAUUCACCUUGAUGCACUAUUCCACAAUUUCCUCAGAAACACAGGGAUAUGAGACACAGGAGCCAAGGACAAUCCAGUUCAUCUCUCCAGCCAAGGGCAAUUGCUCCUCUUCUAU